rnacentral:misc_RNA from 1 species
UCCGGUUUGUCACCGGCAGUCUCAUUAGAGUGCCCAACUGAAUGUAGCAACUAAUGACAAGGGUUGCGCUCGUUGCGGGACUUAACCCAACAUCUCACGACACGAGCUGACGACAGCCAUGCAGCACCUGUCACUGGUCCAGCCGAACUGAAGAGACCGAUCUCUCGGCCCCGCGACCAGGAAGUCAAGGGCUGGUAAGGUUCUGCGCGUUGCUUCGAACUAAACCACAUGCUCCACCGCUUGU